GGAAGGAAAAACCCUAAAAACGCGUGGCUUUUUCAUAUUAUGGGGUGCAACUCGCCUACGUGAAGUGGGAAUCGCUAGUAAUCGCAGGUCAGCAUACUGCGGUGAAUACGUUCCCGGGCCUUGUACACACCGCCCGUCACACCAUGGAAGUUGGCCAUGCCCGAAGUCGUUACUCCAACCCUUGUGGAGGAGGACGCCGAAGGUGGGGCUAAUGACUGGGGUGAAGUCGUAACAAGGUAGCCGUACCGGAAGGUGCGGCUGGAUCACCUCCUAA
rnacentral:rRNA from 1 species